rnacentral:snRNA from 1 species
AUUAUUUCUCAGCCUUUUGACUAAGAUCAAGUGUAGUAUGUG